rnacentral:rRNA from 1 species
UACGUAGGGAGCGAGCGUUGUCCGGAUUCAUUGGGCGUAAAGAGCUCGUAGGCGGCUUGGUAAGUCGGAUGUGAAACCUCCAGGCUCAACCUGGAGUCGCCAUCCGAUACUGCCAUGGCUAGAGUCCGGUAGGGGCCCACGGAAUUCCUGGUGUAGCGGUGAAAUGCGCAGAUAUCAGGAGGAACACCGGUGGCGAAGGCGGGUCUCUGGGCCGAUACUGACGCUGAGGAGCGAAAGCGUGGGGAGCAAACAGG